CAAAUAUGCUUUGGCAUAUAAGCAAGAUGCAAAGGAAGAGAUUGGUAAUAUGAUUUUUGUAAAGAAAUUUUACAAGUGUUGGAAGGAUGAGGCAGGUUUGAUGUCUGGAGAUGAUAUAGAUCUCUUUAAAAUACAGUCAUGCCUUGGUAAUAUGUUGCCACAGUAUUCUUUGCUUGUGAAACAAUUGAUCAGACUGGGCCAAUUUGGAUAGCUCAGAUUUUCUUACCAAGGUUAUAGAAAAGGAAAAUGCAGGUUGUUUUGACUUAAGAAAAGAUUUAGGAAAGUAAGGUUGCUUAUUAUGCUCAGGGAUUGCAACACUGUCCACCUACACAGGCUGAGAGCGAGGAUGGGAUGGAGCACAUAAAGCCCGUGGAAGAGGUGGUCAAAAAGGGGCGAGGGGAUGGAGACAGGGAAAUCAGGGUUAUAGGGGCAGGGGUAACCAAGGAGGAAUAGACAGGAACACUUGUUUCAACUGUGGCCAAUAUGGCCACUGGAGGAAUGAGUGUCCACACCCCAGGAAACCCCAGGAAACCCCACACACCCCAACAACCCCACAAUUCUCAAAAUAUGCCCGGUAGGCAAGAACAACACCAGACCCACUCCCAACACCACUGGCCAGCAUAUCGCUUAGUUCAGGACUUUAGAGCCCUGAAUAGUUUAAUUGUGCCCAUUUCACCCAUUGUCCCUGAUGUGACAUCCCUCAUUACAGCCAUUCAACAUGAUGCCACUUGCUUCACUGUCAUUGAUUUAAGUAAUGCAUUUUUUCUAUACCGAUUGAUCAAGAGACACAGCUACUUAUGGUUUUUACUUUUUGAAGGCUGUCAGUUUACCUGGACACGCUUACCCAAGGCUAUGUGGAUUCCCCAGCUGUUUAUUCGUUGGUACUCCAACAUACUCUAAACAACAUGGACCACCGGUCAUGGUUCCGUCCUUUUUGCAAAAUGUUGAUGAUUUGUUGUUAUGUAGCCCUAGCUAUGAGGCAAGCACUGUGGAUACUGUCAGCAACUGUGGGUCACAAG